CUGGCGUCAGGAUGAACGACUGGACGGCACGCCUAACACAUGCAAGUCGAACGGAGUUAAGAGAGCUUGCUCUUUAAACUUAGUGGCGGACGGGUGAGUAACACGUGAGCAACCUGCCUUCAGAGAGGGAUAGCUUCUGGAAACGGAUGGUAAUACCUCAUAACAUAUUGAUACGGCAUCGUAUUGAUAUCAAAGAUUUAUCGCUGAAAGAUGGGCUCGCGUCUGAUUAGCUGGUUGGUGAGGUAACGGCCCACCAAGGCAACGAUCAGUAGCCGGACUGAGAGGUUGAACGGCCACAUUGGGACUGAGACACGGCCCAGACUCCUACGGGAGGCAGCAGUGGGGAAUAUUGCACAAUGGGCGCAAGCCUGAUGCAGCGAUGCCGCGUGAGGGAAGAAGGUUUUCGGAUUGUAAACCUCUGUCAUCGGGGACGAAAAUGACGGUACCCGAGAAGGAAGCUCCGGCUAACUACGUGCCAGCCGCCGC
rnacentral:rRNA from 1 species